ensembl:lncRNA
UGUGGGAUUAUAAACUUGCUGUGAAUGGAUGAGAAACCUUCUGCUCUGCUGGAGUUUUUCUCAAGCAUACAAGACAGCUGAUUUCCAGGGCUUCCAUCUGCACAACACCAUCUUCCUCAAUAGUUCCACAAGGAUGGCUAUUCAUCUUUUCCAAGUACUUGAUCAACUGCCACACUUUUAGUGAAGUCUUCCUAUCUUAAUUUGUACUGCAAGUUGGUACAGUUGAGGUGACCAGCAAGGAAGAAAGAGUGAACAAGUUUUAAAGAAUGUACUAUUUGGAUAUAUUUGUCAUCAAGGAUAAUUAUUUUUAUGUUAUAUCUUAUAAUUGAGAUUAACUGCUAUACAUAGAUAAAAUGAAAUCAGUAUUUUGCAAAAAUGAUAAAAAUACAAAAUGCUAAUGCUCUAGGG